GGUGAACGCUGGCGGCGUGCCUAAUACAUGCAAGUCGAGCGAACAGACGAGGAGCUUGCUCCUCUGACGUUAGCGGCGGACGGGUGAGUAACACGUGGAUAACCUACCUAUAAGACUGGGAUAACUUCGGGAAACCGGAGCUAAUACCGGAUAACAUGUUGAACCGCAUGGUUCAACAGUGAAUGACGGUUUUGCUGUCACUUAUAGAUGGAUCCGGGUCGCAUUAGCUAGUUGGUAAGGUAACGGCUUACCAAGGCAACGAUGCGUAGCCGACCUGAGAGGGUGAUCGGCCACACUGGAACUGAGACACGGUCCAGACUCCUACGGGAGGCAGCAGUAGGGAAUCUUGCGCAAUGGGCGAAAGCCUGACGGAGCAACGCCGCGUGAGUGAAGAAGGUCUUCGGAUCGUAAAACUCUGUUAUUGGGAAAAAAAAAAAGUGUAAGUAACUAUGCACGUCUUGACGGUACCUAAUCAGAAAGCCACGGCUAACUACGUG
rnacentral:rRNA from 1 species